UGAAAGAAGUUGAACUUGUUGAAGUUGAAGGAGAAAUCAGAACAAGAAUUUCAAAGAAGUCCUCAAGAGUGACUGCCAUUUGACAACCAGACAUGAACCAUCUGGCGAUUUUCUCUAAUUGUUAAUCAACAGAUAUACAACAACAGGGCUGUGUGCUACACUUGGUUGGGAGGU